rnacentral:rRNA from 1 species
GGCGAACGGGUGAGUAACACGUGAGUAACCUGCCCUUAACUCUGGGAUAAGCCUGGGAAACUGGGUCUAAUACCGGAUAUGACUCCUCAUCGCAUGGUGGGGGGUGGAAAGCUUUUUGUGGUUUUGGAUGGACUCGCGGCCUAUCAGCUUGUUGGUGAGGUAAUGGCUCACCAAGGCGACGACGGGUAGCCGGCCUGAGAGGGUGACCGGCCACACUGGGACUGAGACACGGCCCAGACUCCUACGGGAGGCAGCAGUGGGGAAUAUUGCACAAUGGGCGCAAGCCUGAUGCAGCGACGCCGCGUGAGGGAUGACGGCCUUCGGGUUGUAAACCUCUUUCAGUAGGGAAGAAGCGAAAGUGACGGUACCUGCAGAAGAAGCGCCGGCUAACUACGUGCCAGCAGCCGCGGUAAUACGUAGGGCGCAAGCGUUAUCCGGAAUUAUUGGGCGUAAAGAGCUCGUAGGCGGUUUGUCGCGUCUGCCGUGAAAGUCCGGGGCUCAACUCCGGAUCUGCGGUGGGUACGGGCAGACUAGAGUGAUGUAGGGGAGACUGGAAUUCCUGGUGUAGCGGUGAAAUGCGCAGAUAUCAGGAGGAACACUGAUGGCGAAGGCAGGUCUCUGGGCAUUAACUGACGCUGAGGAGCGAAAGCAUGGGGAGCGAACAGGAUUAGAUACCCUGGUAGUCC